rnacentral:lncRNA from 10 species
GGGAAGACACAAGGGGGAAAUAUCCACUGAUACUAGACUGUCAUUGAUCAAUUCCUGCUGGGUAAGAUGCCUGUGGUAGUAAGCCGGCUUAGACCACGUAGACAAGGGCAAACCAUCUGGGAGGCCUGGGGCAAUAAUACUGAAGAAUCUUGGCAUCCUGGAAAUAUCUGAGCAGCCAUGUGAACUUGAGCUGUGUGGGACAACUGCCGAAUUGCAAACCCCAUGAGGUUCUGCUUGGAGUUUAUGUCAACAUAGAUCUUGUCUUUUCUCAGCCUGUUUCCAUCAAAGCAAUGCUUAAUUGGGGGCUGAUCUGGGAUCUGGGAAAGAAGGGGAGAGGGCAGUCAUUCUUUCACUGGAUGCAUUUAAUUUUACU